GAUCCCAAAAUACCCCUGGAAAAGUGACUGUACGACAUUCCGUCCGUGGCUUCCUUAUUAGCAAACAAAGAGAGAGGGAGAGAGAGAGAGAGAGAGAGAGGCUCUGUGUGUUGUGUGAGUGAGUGAGCAAAACCCGGUGACGUGAUUCUUCAAAUUCCUGGUUUUCUCUCUCUAUAAAUACACGUAUGUGUAAGUGUAAGUAUGUAUUAUUAUAAUGUUGUGAGAUCUGUUUGUUUCUUAGAUUAGAUCUAUGGUGGUUGACACGUUAUGUUCAAUCGUUUGCAGCUACUGACCUUUUGAUUUUUUGGUUUUUGGUUUUUUUUUUAAUGGAAUAAUUUUUUUGGUGGGGUGGAGUCACUGGAGGCAGCGGUUCAUCGAUCUCUUCCUGAGAUUUGUUGUGAAAAUACAAAACAUGAAUCGGUCGAUAAACCUCUGCAUCCAGCGCUCACUCUCUCAUUCUGGUGUUUUUCUUUUUUCUUGUAUUUCUGAACUUGCUCUGUUUGAAGUUUGAUGUUGUACGAGCCUCUAACCGGGACCCAGAAGGCAAAAAGUCUGUUAAUUUAUUUCUAGAAGGGAAUCAAAUUGGUGGUUGGUUGCCUUUUGUUUCCUGAAUUCUUAACCUGCACGCAGAUGAUCUAUGACUUGCUUUGUUCUUAAAGUUUUAUAUUUUAUUGUACAAGUUCAAUGUAUUGAUGUAAAUUUUCUAUUUCCCAUGCUGGUUAACAGUUUUGUUUGACCUGAAAGUUGAUUAUCAUGUGGUGUAUAUAUAUAUAUGUUGAGAUGACUGAAUUUUUGGACUACAAAUCUUCCUUUCAAAGAUUUACUCGCAUGUCUGCCUCAGCAGAGUGCGCAGUGGGUGUUUCUGUGAUCCAUUGUUUUGCUCGUCAUAAUGGUUAUCAUGAUACCAAACUGAUGUGCUUCUCAUUUUUCGGUGAGAAGCUUUGGGGGUGAAUUAAAUGCUUAGAAUUCUUUAUUAUUUUUUAAUCGUGGGUAGAAUUUUGUCUUCAAGUAACCUUACAUGUAGUCUUUGUGAUGGAACUUGCUCUUUCAAUAGAAAGCUGGGUUUUCUGUUGUGUUCUUCCUCUUCCCCUUUCGCUAGAAAUCUAUGUAUACUUUUUAUGUUGUUCAAAACAUUUUGCUUUCUUUUAAGUUUAAUACUUCUGUAUUUGUGGAAUUAAGUUGUCUUCUUUGCUUUUAAUUGAUGUAUUGUUUCCAAAUUAUGUAUGCAUGGAUUUUAAUGCUAUGUCACUUUUAGUCUUAUGUAUUAAUCUUUUUCUCCCCUUUUCCUUUAGUCAAAGAGAGCUGAAGGAUUGGCUAAAGAAGGGGAAUUUUUUUCUUCUUUUCCUUUUUAUCCUCUUUUUUGGUUCUUGAAAUUGGAUACUCAUGGUAAUUAAUCGGCUUCCAAUUAUUUUGUCAUUUUCUUGAGCAGAUGGUCAAAAGUUUGAACUUGUUUCUUUCUCUUUUAAUGGAUAAAGUUCCUUGGAAUGAAAGUCUCCAUUUGGGAGACAUAACGUCAUUACUGCAUGAACGUGAGGGGAAAUUACAGUUAUGGAGUAGCAAGUUGCCAGAGAAUCUUGUAGGUCUGAUGUUACUUCUAGAAUCUGGUAUCAAAUUCCUUGUACCAUAGUUAGAACUAGUAAAGCAGAAACAAUCGUAUGGGAACCAAUCAGAUUGUGGAAUUGUAGGUAGGAGCCGGGGACAGGGUCAAUGUUUGUAAGCUGUGGAUAUUCUGUUCAGCCCCCUAUUUUGAUUCAUUGCCUUGUAAUUCUAUCGAGUAAUAUAAAUUGUUUGCGGUUUUUUUUUUCC